rnacentral:lncRNA from 1 species
UAUUUUUCUAAUGGAUAUAAGCAGGAAAUAAUAUGAAACUAUAGUUAAAAUCAAAGCUUUUGCCUGAACAUCAACAAAAUAGAUUUUUUACCAAAGCAUUUUCUUAGGGGAUGUCAUUUUCUAGCUCAGAUCUGUCAGUGAAGCUAAAAUAUUACAGAUAGUACCUUUUCAGGAAAAGAGUCAAUAAAAAUGAUUCCUACUUUCUAUGAUUCACUGAUUGCCACUUUUUAUUAACUUGCAGUGCCCCAAAAUCUAAGUGGCUACUUGGCUCCUUGAUUAUGCUUCUCCCGUGUCUUAUAAAGACAAAGUCUUUGGAAGAAGGUACGAGCCAGUAAGAACAGAGAAUGGAGCAAGUCCUCUUGUCAUCUUUUGGCUCAGUCUCCAUCUAUGCCGUUUGUUCGGGGCACUUUUGAAUGAACAGUCCUACACCAAGGCAAGUCAUUAUGAGGAGAGAAGAAGACGGCCUGGGAGAGAAGGACGUCCGUCCGGUGGAUGGUAGGACCGUGUGUCGUGAUGCGUUCCUUUCUCCAAGAUGCAUAUAAUGGAAACGUUGCUCACAAAGAGGACAUUUGUUAGUUCAUAUGUGAUCAUCAAGAAGCAGAUGGAGAGUGAUUAUGUGGUCCUUGUCCU